rfam:Oryza glumipatula chromosome 3, whole genome shotgun sequence.
UACUCCCUCCAUCACAAAAUAAGCCAACCUCGUACUAGGAUGUGACACAUCCCAGUACGAGGUUGGUUUAUUUGGGACGGAGGGAGUAA